GGCGGUUCGCCGCCCCCGACGUCGCGAGAAGUCCAUUGAACCUUAUCAUUUAGAGGAAGGAGAAGUCGUAACAAGGUUUCCGUAGGUGAACCUGCGGAAGGAUCAUUGUCGUGACCCUGACCAAAACAGACCGCGAACGCGUCACCCGCCCGGCCGGGCGGCGGGCUAUCCCUAGCCAGCCUCCCGGCCACCGGCGACGCCCUCGUCUCCCCUCGGGGGGGCUGGGCGUAGCCACAAAAGAACCCACGGCGCCGACGGCGUCAAGGAACACUGUGCACAGCGAACCGGGGGGGUGGCCGGCCUGCCGGCAGCGCCCCCGCGCCGCGACGCGAUAUCUAAAAAUCCACACGACUCUCGGCAACGGAUAUCUCGGCUCUCGCAUCGAUGAAGAACGUAGCGAAAUGCGAUACCUGGUGUGAAUUGCAGAAUCCCGUGAACCAUCGAGUCUUUGAACGCAAGUUGCGCCCGAGGCCAUCCGGCCGAGGGCACGCCUGCCUGGGCGUCACGCCAAAGGACGCUCCUCGCCCCCCAGCUCCUCGGAGCGGGCCGGCAGGACGCGGUGUGUGGCCCCCCGUGCCGCGAGGCGCGGUGAGCCGAAGUUCGGGCUGCCGGCAUCGCGUGCCGGGCACAGCGCAUGGUGGGAGACUGCUGACGACGCAGUGCACCCCGGCGCGCAGCCGGCACGAAGGCCCCUACGGACCCAUCGACCGGACCACGAGUUCGGACCGCGACCCCAGGUCAGGCGGGACUACCCGCUGAGUUUAAGCAUAUAAAUAAG
rnacentral:rRNA from 1 species